rnacentral:rRNA from 1 species
AGAGUUUGAUCAUGGCUCAGAUUGAACGCUGGCGGCAGGCCUAACACAUGCAAGUCGAGCGGCAGCGGGAGGAAGCUUGCUUCCUCGCCGGCGAGCGGCGGACGGGUGAGUAAUGUCUGGGGAUCUGCCCGAUGGAGGGGGAUAACCACUGGAAACGGUGGCUAAUACCGCAUAACGUCGCAAGACCAAAGUGGGGGACCUUCGGGCCUCACACCAUCGGAUGAACCCAGAUGGGAUUAGCUAGUAGGUGGGGUAAUGGCUCACCUAGGCGACGAUCCCUAGCUGGUCUGAGAGGAUGACCAGCCACACUGGAACUGAGACACGGUCCAGACUCCUACGGGAGGCAGCAGUGGGGAAUAUUGCACAAUGGGCGCAAGCCUGAUGCAGCCAUGCCGCGUGUGUGAAGAAGGCCUUCGGGUUGUAAAGCACUUUCAGCGAGGAGGAAGGUGGUGAACUUAAUACGUUCAUCAAUUGACGUUACUCGCAGAAGAAGCACCGGCUAACUCCGUGCCAGCAGCCGCGGUAAUACGGAGGGUGCAAGCGUUAAUCGGAAUUACUGGGCGUAAAGCGCACGCAGGCGGUUUGUUAAGUCAGAUGUGAAAUCCCCGAGCUUAACUUGGGAACUGCAUUUGAAACUGGCAAGCUAGAGUCUCGUAGAGGGGGUAGAAUUCCAGGUGUAGCGGUGAAAUGCGUAGAGAUCUGGAGGAAUACCGGUGGCGAAGGCGGCCCCCUGGACGAAGACUGACGCUCAGGUGCGAAAGCGUGGGGAGCAAACAGGAUUAGAUACCCUGGUAGUCCACGCCGUAAACGAUGUCGAUUUGGAGGUUGUGCCCUUGAGGCGUGGCUUCCGGAGCUAACGCGUUAAAUCGACCGCCUGGGGAGUACGGCCGCAAGGUUAAAACUCAAAUGAAUUGACGGGGGCCCGCACAAGCGGUGGAGCAUGUGGUUUAAUUCGAUGCAACGCGAAGAACCUUACCUACUCUUGACAUCCAGAGAACUUUCCAGAGAUGGAUUGGUGCCUUCGGGAACUCUGAGACAGGUGCUGCAUGGCUGUCGUCAGCUCGUGUUGUGAAAUGUUGGGUUAAGUCCCGCAACGAGCGCAACCCUUAUCCUUUGUUGCCAGCGGUUCGGCCGGGAACUCAAAGGAGACUGCCAGUGAUAAACUGGAGGAAGGUGGGGAUGACGUCAAGUCAUCAUGGCCCUUACGAGUAGGGCUACACACGUGCUACAAUGGCGUAUACAAAGAGAAGCGAACCUGCGAAGGCAAGCGGACCUCAUAAAGUACGUCGUAGUCCGGAUUGGAGUCUGCAACUCGACUCCAUGAAGUCGGAAUCGCUAGUAAUCGUAGAUCAGAAUGCUACGGUGAAUACGUUCCCGGGCCUUGUACACACCGCCCGUCACACCAUGGGAGUGGGUUGCAAAAGAAGUAGGUAGCUUAACCUUCGGGAGGGCGCUUACCACUUUGUGAUUCAUGACUGGGGUGAAGUCGUAACAAGGUAACCGUAGGGGAACCUGCGGUUGGAUCACCU